rnacentral:rRNA from 1 species
GACAAACGCUGGCGGGGUGCAUGAGACAUGCAAGUCGAACGGGGUUGCUCGGGCUUGCUCGAUCAACCUAGUGGCGGACGGCUGAGUAACGCGUAGGUGACCUACCCGGAAGUGGGGAAUAACUGCCCGAAAGGGUGGCUAAUACCGCAUGUGGUCGGCGAAUCGGAUCGCCGUCCAAAGCCGAAAGGCGCUUCCGGAGGGGCCUGCGUCCGAUUAGCUAGUUGGCGAGGUAACGGCUCACCAAGGCGACGAUCGGUAGCUGGUCUGAGAGGAUGAUCAGCCAGACUGGGACUGAGGACGGCCCAGACUCCUACGGGAGGCAGCAGUCGGGAAUUUUGCCCAAUGGACGAAAGUCUGAGGCAGCAACUCCGCGUGAGGGAUGAAGGCCUUCGGGUCGUAAACCUCUUUUCCCAGGGAAGAUCCAAGACGGUACCUGGGGAAUAAGCCACGGCUAACUACGUG